UUGUCUUUUCCCUUUUCUUCUUCUUCCCUGGACAUACAGGCGAGUAGGGCAAGGAAAUCAUUCGCGAAAUCAUCACAAACUCACCACCACCGGCGAAUCUACCACCGAAGAAAUACUUUACGGUCGACGACUUCAUUACCACCGGCGACCUCAACACAAUCUCUAGCGAACUACAAAUUUAGGCUUGGCUGGCAUUUAGGAAGUACUUCGUAACUAAUAUGCCAUCUGAUUUGACUCCGAUUUAUAAGCCCAUAUACAAAGUUUGUAAUAGUGUUCCUCAGCAGAUCCUAAACCUGGCACAUAAUAAGAAUGAGAUACAUAUAAGAGUUUGUUCUCAUUGACAAGUUCACAAAACGAGUUUAGCAUUUGCAUGCUGUAGCAUUCCAGGAAGUUAGAGAUGGGACGAAGGUUAACUACGAGGAUGCAUGGACAUUAAUUUGUGUCAUUCCACACAUCUGAAAGUGCAGACGCGAUAGCGAGAGCUUUUGAUCUUGGUA